GGCUCGGUAGUCUAAAGGCUUAGGACUCUCGCACGGAAUGCAAGCCUAGAGAUCCGGGUUCGAUUCCCGGCCGAGGUA
rnacentral:tRNA from 1 species